CCUGCAUCCUGAAUAUGUUCAUGAGUAUGGAAUCAUGUCAAACUCAAACAUAUAUUCAUAUCAAUUUUUAAUUAAUCAAUGAUGACUCCAAUGAAGAAGUAUUAGAAACUCUUUCUAAUCUCUUUUGUGCUUUUGGUCAAAAAUUUUUUUUCUAGUCAUCUAGGAUUGAGAAUACACAGGAUGUGAUCUCCUCUUACUAGGAGUAAUCGAUUUCAUAUUGACCUAC
rnacentral:lncRNA from 1 species